ACGGCGGAGGCCGGGCAGCAGGCAGAGGAGGUCGCCCGGCUGCGGGAGGAGGUGGCCGGGCUGCGGGCAGAGCUGCGGCGCGGGCAGGAGCUCCGUGCCCAGGACCAGCUGGAGGCCACGGCGCUGCGUGCCGAUGCCCGCUUGAAGGAGCAGCGGCACCGGUGUGCCACCGCCGAGGUGGCACGGCUCCAAGGUGCCCCGAGGGGCCGGGGGGCACCGAGGGUCCCCCUCCCAGUGUCCCCCUACCCCGAGGACCCCGAGGAUGCCCAGCCUCAGUACCUGGAGGGGACCCAGAGCCAGGAGACCACCGGCGGGCUCAAGCCCUUCAUCCUCUUCGUCGUGGCCUCCACCAUCCUCUUCCUCUACCCCUACCUGAAGCAGAGCUGAGACCCCGGCG